AGUGAACGCUGGCGGUAGGCCUAACACAUGCCAGUCGAACGGCAGCACAGUAAGAGCUUGCUCUUACGGGUGGCGAGUGGCGGACGGGUGAGGAAUACAUCGGAAUCCACUUUUUCGUGGGGGAUAACGUAGGGAAACUUACGCUAAUACCGCAUACGACCUACGGGUGAAAGCAGGGGAACUUCGGACCUUGCGCGAUUGAAUGAGCCGAUGUCGGAUUAGCUAGUUGGCGGGGUAAAGGCCCACCAAGGCGACGAUCCGUAGCUGGUCUGAGAGGAUGGUCAGCCACAUUGGAGCUGGGACACGGUCCAGACGCCUACGGGAGGCACCAGUGGGGAAUAUGGGACAAUGGGCGCAAGCCUGACCCAGCCAUACCGCGUGGGUUAAGAAGGCCUUCGGGUUGUAAAGCCCUUUUGUUGGGAAAGAAAAGCAGCAGGUUAAUACCCCGCUGUUCUGACGGUACCCAAUGAAGAAGCACCGGCUAACUUCGUG
rnacentral:rRNA from 1 species